rnacentral:rRNA from 1 species
GACGAACGCUGGCGGCGUGCUUAACACAUGCAAGUCGAACGGAAAGGCUCCAGCUUGCUGGAGUACUCGAGUGGCGAACGGGUGAGUAACACGUGGGUAAUCUGCCCUGCACUCUGGGAUAAGCCUGGGAAACUGGGUCUAAUACUGGAUAUGACCUUUCUCCUUAUGGGGUUUGGUGGAAAGUUUUUCGGUGUAGGAUGAGCCCGCGGCCUAUCAGCUUGUUGGUGGGGUGAUGGCCUACCAAGGCGACGACGGGUAGCUGGCCUGAGAGGGUGAUCGGCCACAUUGGGACUGAGAUACGGCCCAGACUCCUACGGGAGGCAGCAGUGGGGAAUAUUGCACAAUGGGCGGAAGCCUGAUGCAGCGACGCCGCGUGAGGGAUGACGGCCUUCGGGUUGUAAACCUCUUUCAGCAGGGACGAAGCGUAAGUGACGGUACCUGCAGAAGAAGCACCGGCUAACUAUGUG